GGCAGAAAGGAUGGACUCAAAAGAAAAAGGAAAACAGUGUCAAUGAAAGGUGGUGACCUCUGGCUCCAUCCCUAUGAGCAGCAGGCACACUGAGCACUGCUGUCUUUUCUCUUCCUUGUCUCUUAGGCUGAGUAAGCCUCUCCCAGGGUAGGAGGAGCAAAGCAGCCUGUGCUCACAGGCACAGCCUCACUUCCUCAUCUGACUGAUUUCCAGGCUGGGUGUGGAUAACCACACAGUGCUAACAGGAUUUCAGGGCUAUCUGAUUCCUGCAGGAAGGAGGGGGCAGGUGCUGCUCCGAUUCAGCUGCAUCAAGUAUGGUGGAUGUUCCAUGCUCAGCUGCUUUCAGAUGCCUUUCUGGAAGGACCCCUCUGGAGGUCCCAGGCUGCCCAGGCACUUGAGCCGGAGCAGGAACCUCACUCCUUCCAGUUAACAACUGUCUUUAUUAAUAGAACUGGUGUUAGGCAAGUUCAUUGCUAUGGUAUAGAUUUACAAUACCCACCCCCCAAGGUCUUAUGGAUUCAGAGGUGCACUUUUGGAAGGUGAUUGGAUCAUGGGGACCCUGUGUUCACGAAUGGAUUGCUAUGGUCUCAACCCUGGAACUUACUCAUGGAUCAAAUGAAGGAACCAGGAUAUUUCUCCAGAGACAACCCGAGCACAUCAGGGCCAGUGAUGGUUGCCCUCCCUCUGCCCGCAGGGCCCAGUCACAGCCCCUCUAGUAGAGAGACGGUAACACUGCUGGGACAGGCAAGAAUCUCCUGGAGGAUGACACAGAUGAUCAAAACACCUGGACACAACUCGUUUAUGGCUUCAACAAGAGAUGAAAGAGAAGAGCUCACUUGCGGAGCACCUAUGAGAUACCAGGCAGUAAGCACUUGCUUGUAAAUUACCACUUCUAAGACUUGCAAUUCUACCCAGAGGUAGUUGUUUUCCUUUCAUUUUAUAUUUGUAAGCAAUAAAAAAUAGUCAAAAACAAAAACAAAAGGCAAAGAAGCUUUCAUAAUCAGACAGAUCCAAGUUGGGGUUCUUACAGCUAACUGACCUCAGUGAGAACACCGGCUCAGUGUGCUAAAAUCAGAUCACACCUAACAGAGCAACUAGUAGAUAGCCAACAACAGUAACCAGCCUGCCUUUUCCCUGUGAGAGACUAGCAAACACACUUAGAGUUAAAUGACUUGUGCAAGAUCACAGCACCAGGAAGUACUGUAUGAAAACUAAAGUUCCAUGGACCAUCUCUGGAGCCCUGUUUUUUCCUCCAGUGAACAGUGCUACUUCCUUGUGGGCAUUGGGAGUGCAUUCCGGGCAGAGGGAGGAGCUUGCCCAAAAGCAUGAUAAGAUAGCAGAAAGUAUGAGAUCUAUUAUCCUGCUGUGUAAAAACUGCUUCUUUCCAAGCAUCCCAAGGGUGGAGUGGUUUGAUUUGGUGGGUAAUGACAGUUUGAAUAACAGAGCUAUCAUUAUUUUUUUAUACAGCUGAAAUUCUGAGCAAUCAAAGGUGUAGGAUUAUUUGCUCAUCUCUCAGAGUCAAAAAAUAUCUCCACAUUUGUCUUGGCACAAUUAUUUAAUAGCCUGAUGCUGUGGUAUGAAAUUUUCAUCCUCCACAGGUCAUCUUGGAAACAAACGAACUGGAAGUAGAUCUGGCUUGUGUCUAUCAAUCUAUGAAAGGACACUGAUAUUCCAAGACCUGCGUACAUAUUUAUUUUCUUGACAUUGCCUCUACAUCGAUGACACUUGCACAGGCGCUGACAUUCACUGUGGCUUGGCCUGGCAAUAACUGCUAUAAAGUGGGAUGAGGUGGGAAGAACCCAGGAUAGAAAAGAACAAAGGAAAGGUUAGGUCAUGCCAUGUUAAUACAGUUCCUUGGACCACAUUUGCCAUGUGGGGAAACUAGAAGUGUGAUGGACCCCAUUUUCCCAAUGAAAAAGAUGAAGACUCUUGGAAGGCAGCUCUCCCAGGUAUGCCAUGUCCCCUUCCUCCCUCACAAUGGUAGGAGGUCGUCCUUUGCAAAGGGUUAGCUGAAUAAGAAACACAGCACUGUAGUAGUAUAGACAGCUGAGCUAGGUAGCAAUAUUAUAGGCAGUCAGACAGGCCUGGGCCCUGGAGGGAGUCAGUACAGAAGGUGAAAAUGAGCUGCAACUGUGGCUGGAAGCACAUCCUUUGAAGGCCAGGCCUCCAGAUAAAGAGAGAAUGUGCAGGUUUGCAUGCCUCAGAGGAUAAGCAAUAGACUGUAAUUUGUAUUGCCCAGUGCAAUACAGUCUAGAUAGACAACUGCCACCCAGGUAGGCGACCAGGAUAUCCUAAUUCAUCUCUUCCCAAAAA